ACUCAUACGGGAGGCAGCAGUUGGGAAUCUUCCGCAAUGGGCGUAAGCCUGACGGAGCGACACUGCGUGAGGGUAACGAAGUCCUUCGGGAUGUAUACCUCUGUCGAGAGGGGAAGACCUCAGACGGUACCCUCAGAGGAAGCCCCGGCUAACUACGUGCCAGCAGCCGCGGUAAAACGUAGGGGGCGAGCGUUAUCCGGAAUUACUGGGCGUAAAGGGCGUGUAGGCGGUCAGGUGUAUUCGAGGGUGAAAUCCCACGGCUCAACUGUGGGAAGACUCUCGAGAUUAUCUGACUAGAGGGUAGAAGAGGGAGAUGGAAUUCCCGGUGUAGCGGUGAAAUGCGUAGAUAUCGGGAAGAACGCCGGUGGUGAAGACGGUCUCCUGGGCUACUCCUGACGCUGAGGCGCGAAAGCUAGGGGAGCGAACGGGAUUAGAUACCCCGGUAGUCCUAGCCGUAAACGAUGGACACUAGGUGUAGGGGUUCACAGCCUCUGUGCCGAAGCUAACGCAUUAAGCGUCCAGCUUGGGAGUACUGCAGCGAGGCUAAACUCAUACGCAAUUUACGGGGCCCGCACAAGCGGUGUAGCAUGUGGUUUAAUUCGAUGCUACGCGAAGAACCUUACCAGUGCUUGACAUGCUGGUGGUAGGAGCCCGAAAGGGUGACGACUCUAAUAGGUUAAUCUAUUAGGGAGCCAGCACAGGUGCUGCAUGGCUGUCGUCAGCUCGUGUCGUGAGAUGUUGGGUUAAGUCCCGCAACGCAGCGCAACCCUCAUCCCUAGUUACCAACAGGUAAAGCUGGGGACUCUAGGGAAACUGCCAGGGAUAACCUGGAGGAAGGAGGGGACGACGUCAAGUCCGCAUGGCCCUUAUGCCCUGGGCGACACACGUGCUACAAUGGGUGGUACAAAGGGAAGCGAACCCGCGAGGGGGAGCAAAUCCCAAAAAGCCAUCCUCAGUUCGGAUUGCAGGCUGCAACCCGCCUGCAUGAAGCCGGAAUCGCUAGUAACCGUGGGUCAGCCAUACCACGGUGAAUACGUUCCCGGGCCUUGUACACACCGCCCGUCAAGCCACCCGAGUCUAGUGCACCCGAAGUCGCUGACCCAACCCGAGAGGGAGGGAGGCGCCGAAGGUGU
rnacentral:rRNA from 1 species